UGGGGAAUCUUAGACAAUGGGCGCAAGCCUGAUCUAGCCAUGCCGCGUGAGUGAUGAAGGCCCUAGGGUCGUAAAGCUCUUUCGCCUGUGAAGAUAAUGACUGUAGCAGGUAAAGAAACCCCGGCUAACUCCGUGCCAGCAGCCGCGGUAAUACGGAGGGGGUUAGCGUUGUUCGGAAUUACUGGGCGUAAAGCGCGCGUAGGCGGACUAUUAAGUGAGGGGUGAAAUCCCGGGGCUCAACCCCGGAACUGCCCUUCAUACUGGUAGUCUUGAGUUCGAGAGAGGUGAGUGGAAUUCCGAGUGUAGAGGUGAAAUUCGUAGAUAUUCGGAGGAACACCAGUGGCGAAGGCGGCUCACUGGCUCGAUACUGACGCUGAGGUGCGAAAGUGUGGGGAGCAAACAGGAUUAGAUACCCCCGUAGUCC
rnacentral:rRNA from 1 species